AAAGCGUGCGCAGGCGGUUUUGUAAGUUUGUCGUGAAAGCCCCGGGCUCAACCUGGGAAUUGCGAUGAAGACUGCAAGGCUUGAAUCUGGCAGAGGGGGGUAGAAUUCCACGUGUAGCAGUGAAAUGCGUAGAUAUGCGGAGGAACACCGAUGGCGAAGGCAAUCCCCUGGGCCUGCACUGACGCUCAUGCACGAAAGCGUGGGGAGCAAACAGGAUUAGAUACCCCUGU
rnacentral:rRNA from 1 species